AUUGAACGCUGGCGGCAUGCCUUACACAUGCAAGUCGAACGGCAGCACGGGAGCAAUCCUGGUGGCGAGUGGCGAACGGGUGAGUAAUAUAUCGGAACGUGCCCAGUCGUGGGGGAUAACGUAGCGAAAGCUACGCUAAUACCGCAUACGAUCUAUGGAUGAAAGCGGGGGAUCGCAAGACCUCGCGCGAUCGGAGCGGCCGAUAUCAGAUUAGGUAGUUGGUGAGGUAAAGGCUCACCAAGCCGACGAUCUGUAGCUGGUCUGAGAGGACGACCAGCCACACUGGGACUGAGACACGGCCAAGACUCCUACGGGAGGCAGCAGUGGGGAAUUUUGGACAAUGGGCGCAAGCCUGAUUCAGCAAUGCCGCGUGCAGGAUGAAGGCCUUCGGGUUGUAAACUGCUUUUGUACGGAGCGAAACGGCUUCCACUAAUACUGGGGGCUAAUGACGGUACCGUAAGAAUAAGCACCGGCUAACUACGUGCCAGCAGCCGCGGUAACAC
rnacentral:rRNA from 1 species